AACAAAAACCCUUCAAAGGAGUAGUAUAAAUACAAAACGUUAACGCCUAAAAAUUGAUAGAGGAAAUAUGGCUUCAGGAAACAAAAUUGGUUUAAUAUAUCUUCUCAUUUUGUGUUGUGCAAUUCUACUGAGCGUCAAUUCAGCAACUGUGAGGGCAAAAAUAGCAUGCCCUAGCUAUGCAUGCAUAGCAAAUGAAGGUGGGUACAUGACCUGCCUGUCUUCGGGCACUCAGAAACUUAAUUCGCCCUGCAAUUGUUGCUAUGCUCCACAGGGCUGUACCAUUUAUUAUGCUUCUGGAGCUUCAAUGUGUACUGCCACUGCCACUGGGGCUUGAAGGGAUGGACAUGCGAUAUCUGUUAAACAUGGUUGCUAGUACUCACAUUUGGUUUGCAACAUAAAGGUGUCUAUGUGUUGUAACAUAGAGACAAUGAAUUGUACUUGUCGUACUAUUGUAUUGUAUUUGUAUUGCUUAUAUUAAUUGCACUUGUAUUUCUACAGUAUCAUGUCGUUUUAGUGAGUUGCCAAAUUGUGCAAUAAAGAUUUAGCCCUUUGUGCUUUAUGAUUGCAAUCACGUAAAUUCAAUGAAUGUUCUUUUGUUUA